rnacentral:rRNA from 1 species
AUCUGGUUGAUCCUGCCUGAACUGAUGUGUUCAUUUCAAAGAUUAAGCCAUGCAUGUAUAAGUAUAACCUGCCAGACAGGGAAACUGCGUACGGCUCAUUACACCAGCCUUAAUUUACUUGACCUUGACAACCUACUUGGAUAACUGUGGUAAUUCUAGAGCUAAUACAUGCACCAAAGCUCCGAUCCCUUGCGGAGAGGAGCGCAUUUGUUCGCCACAAAACCAAGCGCCCUCACGGGCGUUCAGUGUUGACUCAGAAUAACUAAGCUGAUCGCACGGUCUUGCACCGGCGACGUGUCUUUCAAGUGUCUGCCUUAUCAACUUUCGAUGGUAGUGUACCUGACUACCAUGGUGAUGACGGGUAACGGAGGAUCAGGGUUCGACUCCGGAGAAGGGGCCUGAGAAAUGGCCACUACGUCUAAGGAUGGCAGCAGGCGCGCAAAUUACCCACUCUCAACGCGAGGAGGUAGUGACGAGAAAUAACGAGACCGUUCUCACAAGAGGCCGGUCAUCGGAAUGGGUACAACACAAACCCUUUAACGAGUAUCUAUGAGAGGGCAAGUCUGGUGCCAGCAGCCGCGGUAAUUCCAGCUCUCAAAAUGCAUAGAAUUAUUGCUGCGGUUAAAAAGCUCGUAGUUGGAUCUGUGCUGGUCGCCCGGUCCACCCUCUGCGGUGCGCACUGGUGCGGCUGGCUUUCCUGUCCGCUUCCUCACCGGCGUUGGCCUUCAUCGGCAGGCGUCGGCGGGCGGACGAGUUUACUUUGAACAAAUCAGAGUGCUUCACACAGGCGUUUCGCUUGAAUGUUCGUGCAUGGAAUAAUAGAAGAGGAUUUCGGUCCGAUUUUAUUGGUUUUGCUGACCGAGAUAAUGGUUAACAGAGACAAACGGGGCCAUUCGUAUUGCUACGUGAGAGGUGAAAUUCUUGGACCGUAGCAAGACGGACUACAGCGAAAGCAUUUGGCAAGAAUGUCUUCAUUAAUCAAGAACGAAAGUCAGAGGUUCGAAGGCGAUCAGAUACCGCCCUAGUUCUGACCGUAAACGAUGCCAACUAGCGAUCCGCCGGCGGAUUCAUUCGCCCUGGUGGGGAGCUUCCCGGAAACGAAAGUCUUCCGGUUCCGGGGGAAGUAUGGUUGCAAAGCUGAAACUUAAAGGAAUUGACGGAAGGGCACCACCAGGAGUGGAGCCUGCGGCUUAAUUUGACUCAACACGGGGAAACUCACCCGGCCCGGACACCGUAAGGAUUGACAGAUUGAUAGCUUUUUCAUGAUUCGGUGGAUGGUGGUGCAUGGCCGUUCUUAGUUCGUGGAGCGAUUUGUCUGGUUUAUUCCGAUAACGAGCGAGACUCUGGCCUACUAAAUAGUUGGCGCAUUGUCACUGUGCGUACAACUUCUUAGAGGGAUUUUCGGUGUUCAGCCGCACGAAAUUGAGCAAUAACAGGUCUGUGAUGCCCUUAGAUGUCCGGGGCUGCACGCGCGCUACACUGGCAAAAUCAGCGUGCUUGUCCUUCCCCGAAAGGGGUUGGUAAACCCGUGAAAAUUUGCCGUGAUUGGGAUCGGACAUUGCAAUUAUUGUCCGUGAACGAGGAAUUCCUUGUAGGGGCGAGUCAUCAACUCGCUCUGAAUACGUCCCUGCCCUUUGUACACACCGCCCGUCGCUGCCCGGGACUGAGCCAUUUCGAGAAACUUGGGGACCAACGACUUGACGACUCUCGGGUCGCCUCGUUGCUGGAAACCAAUUUAAUCGCAGUGGCUUGAACCGGGCAAAAGUCGUAACAAGGUAGCUGUAGGUGAACCUGCUGCUGGAUCAUUA